rnacentral:rRNA from 1 species
GACGAACGCUGGCGGCGUGCCUAAUACAUGCAAGUCGAGCGCAGGAAACUGACGGAACUCUUCGGAGGGAAGGCAGUGGAAUGAGCGGCGGACGGGUGAGUAACACGUAAGGAACCUGCCUCAAGGAUUGGGAUAACUCCGAGAAAUCGGAGCUAAUACCGGAUAGUUCAACGGACCGCAUGGUCCGCUGAUGAAAGGCGCUCCGGCGUCACCUUGAGAUGGCCUUGCGGUGCAUUAGCUAGUUGGUGGGGUAACGGCCCACCAAGGCGACGAAGCAUAGCCGACCUGAGAGGGUGAUCGGCCACACUGGGACUGAGACACGGCCCAGACUCCUACGGGAGGCAGCAGUAGGGAAUCUUCCACAAUGGACGAAAGUCUGAUGGAGCAACGCCGCGUGAGUGAUGGAGGUUUUCGGAUCGUAAAACUCUGUUGUAAGGGAAGAACACGUACGAGAGGAAAUGCUCGUACCUUGACGGUACCUUACGAGAAAGCCACGGCUAACUACGUGCCAGCCGCCGCAGUAA